rnacentral:rRNA from 1 species
GUGCAGCAGUCGAGAAACUUCACACUGUGCGAAGCACGAUGAGGGAAUCCCAAGUGCUUGCACGUAAGUGUAAGCUGUUCUCUGUCUAAACGCAGAGAGAGUAAGGGCUGGGUAAGACGGGUGCCAGCCGCCGCGGUAAUACCUGCAGCUCAAGUGGUGACCGUUAUUAUUGGGCCUAAAACGUCCGUAGCCGGUUUAAUAAAUGCCUGGGUAAAUUGUGUAGCUUAACUAUACGAAUUCCGGGUAGACUGUUAAACUUGAGACCGGGAGAAGUUAGAGGUACUCCUGGGGUAGAGGUGAAAAUUCUGUAAUCCUAGGGGACCACCAGUGGCGAAAGGCGUCUAACUAGAACGGGUCUGACGGUGAGGGACGAAGCCCUGGGGCGCAAACGGGAUUAGAUACCCCGUAGUCCC